rnacentral:rRNA from 1 species
AGCAGUAGCCGCGGUAACACAGAGGGUGCGAGCGUUAAUCGGAUUUACUGGGCGUAAAGCGUGCGUAGGCGGCUUCUUAAGUCGGAUGUGAAAUCCCUGAGCUUAACUUAGGAAUUGCAUUCGAUACUGGGAAGCUAGAGUAUGGGAGAGGAUGGUAGAAUUCCAGGUGUAGCGGUGAAAUGCGUAGAGAUCUGGAGGAAUACCGAUGGCGAAGGCAGCCAUCUGGCCUAAUACUGACGCUGAGGUACGAAAGCAUGGGGAGCAAACAGGAUUAGAGACCCCAGUAGUCCCUGUCUCUUAUAC